AGGACGAACGCUGGCGGCGUGCUUAACACAUGCAAGUCGAGCGGAAAGGCCUUUCGGGGUACUCGAGCGGCGAACGGGUGAGUAACACGUGAGUAAUCUGCCCAUCGCUUCAGGAUAGCCAUCGGAAACGGUGAUUAAUACUGGAUAUGACAUUCCUUCGCAUGUUGGGGUGUGGAAAGUUUUUUCGGCGGUGGAUGUGCUCGCGGCCUAUCAGCUUGUUGGUGGGGUAAUGGCCUACCAAGGCUUUAGGACGGGUAGCCGGCCUGAG
rnacentral:rRNA from 1 species